CGCGGACGGAGGCGGGCGGUCUGCUAGGUGACGUCCUUCGCGUACUCCUUUCCGAAGACGUGGAGAGGCGGUCCUCCUCGCCGGGCUCCCCGGGUCUCUCGGUUCUCCUGGGGAACCCUCGCUCUUGACGCCGAGAGACCUACAGCCAAUUCCAGCGGACGGUGUGAGCGUCCUGCCCGCCAUCGGCCGUCAGAGCCACACGGAACAGGCACCCUGGUGGGACCGGGUCCCGGAGCCCUCCGCGCCGGGCCGAGAACCGACCACCGCGUCUGCGCAGCGGGCUGUGGAGAAGCUGCGGGAGCGGCCGGGGCGGCCUCGGUCCUCAGGGUACGCAGCCCCGCCGGCUCCGCGCCCUCCGAGCGAUCCGCCUCCCGAGCCAUCCCCGGAGCCCGUCCUGUCUCGUUGGAAAUUGAAGCCGUUAGUGUCUUAACUCAAAGGCUCCUAGGGCAGAGAAGCUCAGCCGGUCCCAGCACCCGGAAGGAAGCUCCCCCACCGUCAUCCCAAGCUCCUAGGGCAGAGAAGGUGAGCCGCGAGGAUGCCAGAAGCACCCCCCCCGCCCCGCCCCCCGGUGGAAAUGAGAAAACACAUAAACAAGCCUCAAAAACAGACUUCCAGAUCACCUACAGCAACCCCAAAGGGAAACAAGAUGGAACAAUCUGAUACUCAACCACCUGGACCCUCUGAACUGGCAACAAAAGAGGAUCUGGGAAAAAUGAAAUCAGAAAUAAUUACUCAGAUAACAGCAAAGAUUUUGCUCAUGGUGCAAGACAUGAUCAAUAAAUCUAGACAAGAC
rnacentral:lncRNA from 1 species